rnacentral:rRNA from 1 species
ACCAGAGCCAUAUCUCCCUGCAGUUCUCGCCAGGUUUCCCACUGAAGUUAAGCAGGGUUGAGCCUAGCCAGUUUGGAUGGGAGACCUCCUGGGGAAAACUAAGGUUGCUGCUGGAA